rnacentral:rRNA from 1 species
AUGACCCGGUGGAUUUGUUGCUUUCCCUGCCGAAUGCCGACCGACGAUCGCUGUCGAUCUUCCCCUUUGGAUUUCCGACUCCUUUUGUUCCCAGCGAGCACUGGGAUUUCCCCUAGAAUAAUUUCAUCGGAUUUGGACUCUGCGAUGCUGCUCGUGGUCUGUUCUUUGUUCGUCUGUUCCUCCAUGAAACAGAACAUCUGUUCUUCUGUCCUAACCUGUUUCAUCUUCAUGAUUGGCGCAGGCCUGCAACCGGAGCUGCUGAUCCGUCUCGAAUCAACAGAUGGGUUCCCUCACAACCCGAUAUGCUCCGGCCAAGACGCCGUCUCAUGCGCUUUGAACCAAAUGUUCGACUCCUCCACCUGCACGAGCCACCUGGCGGCGACCGGCAUGGCCGCGCUGCUCGUGCUCGCGCUCGCACUCCAGCUGCUUGUCAAAAUUCCGCAGAGCAGAGCGUCUGCGCGGCAGCUCGUCACGCUCGGCUCACCGCUGCACUUGUCUGCUGUGGUGUUCACCGGCUGCUUGGGUUUGGUUUAUCUUGGGCUAGGACUCUGGAUGCUGGGGAGUGGCUUCAGUCAGGAUGCUUCUACUGUUUACCUUCCACAUUGGUGGCUUUGUCAGGCGUCGGUUUCUUGGAGCGGCAUUCGUCAGGUCUUGGCCGGUGCAGUGGUCCUCCUCAUUUAUGGCAUUCGGCACAGCCAUGACGAAGAGGGCUAUGGAGGAAUUGGAAAUGGUUUAUACAAGCCCCUCAACACGGAGACAGACGGCGAGGCAGCUGAUUCUGAGACUCAUCAGGUCACUCCCUUUGCUACUGCUGGUUUUUUCAGUGAGAUGUCGUUUUGGUGGUUGAAUCCUCUAAUGAAGAAGGGCUAUGAGAUUCCCCUUGAGGACAAAGACAUGCUUCUUUUACACGCCACAGAUCGAGUGCAAAACCAGUACUCCAUGCUCAUGGAGAAGCUGAAUUGCAGGAAGCAGCCGCCGGCGCACGCCACACCAUCAUUCUUCUGGACUAUUGUUUCUUGUCACAAGCGUGCCAUCAUGGUCUCAGGUUUCUUCGUUUUGCUCAAGGUUCUCACCUUAUCCACUGGCCCAGUAAUUCUCAAGGCAUUCAUCAAUGUAUCACUUGGGAAAGGGACCUUUAAAUACGAAGGCUAUGCGCUGGCUGCAUUAUUGUUCGUCUGCAAAUGCUGUGAAUCAUUGUCGGAGAGACAGUGGUAUUUCCGCACUCGGAGAUUAGGACUGCAGGUGAGGUCACUCCUGUCAGCAGGUAUUUAUAAGAAACAACAGAAGCUAUCAAAUGGAGCAAAAAUGAAGCACUCCUCUGGACAAAUUAUGAACUAUGUGACCGUCGAUGCCUAUCGGAUUGGGGAAUUCCCAUACUGGUUCCAUCAAACAUGGACAACAAGUGUUCAGCUUUGCAUUGCUCUGGCAAUUCUAUACAAUGCAGUUGGUGCUGCAAUGAUUUCAUCGUUGGUUGUCAUCAUUCUCACCGUACUCUGCAAUGCUCCACUGGCCAGAUUCCAACACAAAUUUCAGAGUAAACUUAUGGAAGCACAUGAUGUGAGAUUGAAGGCCAUGUCUGAGUCACUAGUUCAUAUGAAGGUCUUGAAACUUUAUGCAUGGGAAUCCCACUUCAAGAAGGUCAUCGAGGGGUUGAGGGAAGUUGAGUACAAGUGGUUGUCAGCAUUCCAGCUUUGGAGGGCAUACAACAGUUUCCUGUUCUGGGCUUCUCCUGCUUUGGUUUCUGUGGCAACCUUUGUAACAUGCUAUCUUUUGAAAAUCCCUCUUGAUGCUAGCAAUGUCUUCACCUUUGUGGCAACUCUACGUCUCGUGCAAGACCCAGUUAGGACGAUGCCGGAUGUUAUUGCAGUUGUGAUACAAGCUAAGGUUGCUUUCACUCGGAUAUCAAAGUUCCUUGAUGCACCUGAGUUAAACGAGCAAGUUAGGAAGAAAUAUUAUGGUGGAAUUGAUUACCCUAUAGCGAUGGAUUCAUGUAGCUUCUCGUGGGAUGAGAAUACAUCAAAACAAACUCUGAAGAAUAUAAAUCUGGCAGUCAAAGCUGGAGAAAAGGUUGCAAUUUGUGGAGAGGUUGGAUCAGGAAAGUCGACACUUUUGGCUGCUGUACUCAGAGAGGUCCCCAAAACUGAAGGCGUGAAUGCAUGGAUCCAAACAGGAACUGUGCAAGACAAUAUUCUCUUUGGAUCGUCGAUGGACAGGCAAAGAUACCACAAGACACUCGUGAGGUGCUCGUUGGUCAAGGACCUUGAAAUGUUGCCAUAUGGAGAUUGUACUCAAAUUGGGGAGAGAGGAGUAAAUCUUAGUGGUGGUCAGAAGCAGCGCGUCCAGCUUGCUCGUGCACUAUACCAAAAUGCAGAUAUCUAUCUUCUUCAUGACCCUUUCAGUGCUGUUGAUGCCCAUACAGCCACAAGUCUCUUUAAUGAAUAUGUCAUGAGUGCUCUAUCAGACAAGACCGUUCUUUUGGUGACUCACCAAGUGGAUUUUCUACCUGUAUUUGACUCCAUUUUGGUUAUUCGGUCUGCACCUUAUCAAGAUCUAUUGGCAGAUUGUGAAGAAUUUAAAGACCUUGUAAAUGCCCAUAAAGAUACUAUGGGUGUUUCACAUCGUAAGAACACCAUACCCCAUCAAAGAUCCAAGGAAGUAUCAAUAAAGGAGACAGAUGGUAUUGAUGGAAGUAGAUAUACAGAGUCUGUGAAACCAUCACCAGAAGAAACAGGGGACGCAGUUUUCAAGUCUUAUAUGCUUUACCUGAGCCAGAAGAAAGGCUUCCUGUAUUUCUCCUUGUGUAUGAUUUCUCACAUAAUUUUCGUAGCUGGGCAGAUAUCACAGAAUUCAUGGAUGGCUGCUAAUGUCCAAAAUCCUCAUGUCAGCACACUGAAGUUAAUUUCUGUGUACAUUAUUAUCGGAGCUUGCACAAUGAUCUUCUUGCUAUCAAGAUCUUUAGCAGUCGUUGUUCUUGGGAUCCAGUCAUCAAGAUCCUUAUUUUCCCAGCUACUCAAUUCAUUAUUCCAUGCACCAAUGUCCUUUUUUGAUUCUACACCUCUAGGAAGGGUUCUUAGCCGGGUCUCUUCAGAUUUGAGUAUCGUUGACCUCGAUAUUCCAUUUGCAUUAGUGGUUAGCCUUGGUACCAGCUUAAAUGCAUGUAGCAAUCUAGGGGUAUUGGCUGUUGUUACAUGGCAAGUUCUGUUUGUAUCCGUGCCAAUGAUAGUUUUGGCAAUUAGGUUGCAGAGGUACUAUCUAGCAUCGGCCAAGGAAUUAAUGCGGAUCAAUGGUACUACAAAGUCCGCCCUAGGGACAUCACCGCAGCCACAUAGCCCCAACCGAGACGCUAAACCAAACAAGAACGAGAGGGAGAUCCCUGCCACUGGCGCGGGGCCGGGAUUCUCUGCACCUCCACGGCCCAAAGGCCAUCGGAGGCAACACGGACCGGCGGCCACGGCGACGGGAGAACGAGAAACCCUAGUUGCCUGGGAGUAG